GGCAAUAACCAGGAGAAUCUUGGCCGUCUUCGUGCUUCUAGCAACAUUGCUUGCUUUGGAAAAAAGAACCUUCAACUUUCAGUUUUACUUUACGGUUCUGGAUUUUCUAGAGCCACAUGGUGAACACUUUCUUUCUCGCACACGGGAGAGAAGAGAUGUUCUUUCAGACUCUGAGAUUUACUCAGCAAACAUUUUAUUAAAUGCAUCGAGCGUGGGAACCUAUGAGCAGCUGCUGUCGACCCUGAACGCCACCAGUUAUCCUCUCCAGCUUGAUAACAUCACAGAGAUCCAAGAUAUUACUGUUACAACAGUUUGUGUCUCCACUGAAACUGGUUUCCAGUGUGAGUGUGAAGAGCAGUUUGCUUGGCCGUACAGCUCCUGCAUCACAUAUGGAGCUUGUGAUUCCAUAUCCAGCGGCAUCUGCAAAUGCAUCUCGGCGAUCCCAGCUGACGGCUCUUCCUGUCAGCUGAUCUCCGGUA